rnacentral:rRNA from 1 species
GAUUAACGCUGGCGGCGUGCCUAACACAUGCAAGUCGAGCGCCCCUUCGGGGGAGCGGCGGACGGCUGAGUAACACGUUGGUACCUGCCCCAAACUCGGGAAUAAGCGCUGGAAACGGCGUCUAAUGCCCGAUAGUCUCUUCGGAGUAAAGCUUUUGCGGUUUGGGAGGGGCCUGCGCAUGAUUAGCUUGUUGGUGAGGUAAUGGCUCACCAAGGCUUCGAUCAUUAGAUGGCUGAGAGGAUGAUCAUCCAGACUGGGACUGAGACACGGCCCAAACUCCUACGGGAGGCAGCAGUGGGGAAUAUUGGACAAUGGGCGAAAGCCUGAUCCAGCCAUGCCGCGUGAGUGAUGAAGGCCCUAGGGUUGUAAAGCUCUUUUGUGCGGGAAGAUAAUGACGGUACCGCAAGAAUAAGCCCCGGCUAACUUCGUGCCAGCCGCCGCGGUAAG